GAUCCCGGUCGUGUGGGAGAAGGGCUGUUUGUGAUUUGAAGCACACUUUGUUAUGCAAAAAGGAAAAUAAGCCGUCAGUAUUUAUUUUUUUUAGCUCUACUGGAAAUGAAGAGUUAAGUCUUGGUAUUGGGACCCUGGAGUCCAUUGUUCUUCCAAAAGAAUACUGCGAACUUUCCUUUUUAAAUCAGCUGAAUCAGUUAAAGGGGUUUAUUGGGACGAAGAAAACCGUUGGAUUAGUAGUUUGUUGUUUAGUUUGUUUAGUAUUCCAUCAGUGAAUUGAGUCCUUCACAGGACUCGAGAACUUCACAAGUUCAAUAUAAGAUUGGCCAAAGUUAUUACAUUUUCAGAGGACAAGGAUGUAAUAUUAUCCACAAAAAAUGCUAUGAUGAAGAAAACCGGGCCUGCAACCUCUGCUGAUAAGCAAGUAAUAGCAAAAAAGUCUUAUCCAAAGACUACUUAUAGUCAACGGGGCUCCAAAAAAAGUACAACCUCACUAAAAUUGUCAACUGAUGGUUCUACAAUGGCUAGAAAAAGAAUGCAAAUUCUUGAUGAAGACUUAGAAGGUAUGGUAUGUAAAAUUUCAGUAAAGACAAGUAUUUGUCAUCUGAACUAGACUCGGGUGACAGCUUUAACCUAAAUGAACAAGAAUACUGUAAUUGGGUCAUUCCAUAUGAAAUCAACCAAUGACAGUGACGGUCAUCUCGCCGAUUUUAAAUUUUUUUAAUGUUUUAUUGUUGAUAUAUACUGUACUAGUUAGUAUCCAAAAUUUUUUUGAAAAUAAAUCACCCGUUCCCGUGUUACAGGCUUUCAAAGUUUUUAGCGCGCUUAAAUUAGGGAAAUGAGUAAAAUGAUUAACGUGAUAAUGGAGGACUUGUGGGAUAGAACAUUUAUGUCAAGCCACAGUUUAACUGGAAAAAAGGCACCCACUGAUAAAAGUAGCAAUCCUCCCAAGCCUGCUCUUCCAAAAAAAGUUGUUGAAGCCAUAACAGGAAACCCGACACAAGAUGGGAAUCGAUCCGUCAUUGGUGUCUCUAUGCAUAACUGCAAAAAUUUUAAUUGAGCACAUGGCUCAAAAGUCAAGAGAGAAGAUGCUGGCAGUGGAGGAAGUGGCAGAUUCAGAGUAAAUUAAUAAACAGUGCGUUUCUAGUCCAAUAUUUAUGCACUUAUAUGAUUACGUUUACAAUGUCCCUGUAUGUAAUAUUUUUCGCAUUCACGUUCGUUUUUACAGUUUUUUCUAUUGUAUUUUAUAUAAAGUCACGCAUUUGAAAUUUCGGAAACACAAAGAAAUCUAUACCAAAUACAAAGAAUGUUCC
rnacentral:lncRNA from 1 species